rnacentral:rRNA from 1 species
CACUAACGCUGGCGGCAGGCCUAACACAUGCAAGUCGAGCGAGGACUUCGGUUCUAGCGGCGGACGGGUGAGUAACGCGUGGGAAUGUGCCCUUCUCUACGGAAUAGCCCUGGGAAACUGGGAGUAAUACCGUAUACGCCCUAUUGGGGAAAGAUUUAUCGGAGAAGGAUCAGCCCGCGUUGGAUUAGGUAGUUGGUGGGGUAAUGGCCUACCAAGCCGACGAUCCAUAGCUGGUUUGAGAGGAUGAUCAGCCACACUGGGACUGAGACACGGCCCAGACUCCUACGGGAGGCAGCAGUGGGGAAUCUUAGACAAUGGGGGCAACCCUGAUCUAGCCAUGCCGCGUGAGUGAUGAAGGCCUUAGGGUUGUAAAGCUCUUUCAGCUGGGAAGAUAAUGACGGUACCAGCAGAAGAAGCCCCGGCUAACUCCGUG